rnacentral:tRNA from 1 species
CGGGGUGUAGCGCAGUCCGGUAGCGCGCUUGCAUGGGGUGCAAGAGGUCGCUGGUUCGAAUCCAGUCUCCCCGA